AUCAGCCGCUCCUCCAAUUUUAAUCAAUUGCUUAUUAUUCCCACAUGUCCGCUUAUCUCCACGACUCCUGCCAUGGGAAAUCAGCACGCUCUGGCCGGUGUGGCCUGGCACAGAGAGAAGCCCCUCGUUGACCCGGGCGGGCAGGGUGGUGAGGGCCUGGAUUGUGGAUGCCCCCAGCCUGGAGCCCUCUUGCUGUGUAGGCAGCUGGGCAGCCCAGUGGCCUCUCCUCCUGGAAUGAAGGUCCUAGACAUGGUGUCACCAACUGAGAAUCAGGAAUACAGGCCUGGGCUAUGGUGGUGACAGCGCCUGCAUUUAGUGGAGCCCUGGAACCCUCGUGGAUCCCCGUGGGGAGCUCUGACUGCACCGGGCAGGACAAGGCUCCAUUCCUGGUUCUCAUCAAGGCUGGGGAGUCCCUGGGUGUCUGAUUCCCAUGCCUGGGAACUUCAGGUUUUGGGCUGACUCACGUAGCCCACCCAGUGAUGGCCGUGUCCAGAAGCACGGUCGGUGUGGAUGGGAGCUCCUCCUCCAGCCGGCCCGCUGCGGUGGCCCUGUGACACUGGAUCGCAGCAAGGCGCCCACCGUCUUGGUAGAGUGAGCUUUCCACUUCCUGCCAGUGACAGAGACAGACACCUGGACUUUGGUUACCAGGGCUCCGUCCCAGGUUCAGACUCACACGUUCUCCCUUGAGGAUUGUUGCCAAAAGUGAACCUGCGUAUCUUAGGGGAAGGGAAAGAGAAUCCACGAACUCUGUAGGUUCCGGAGGGCCACGGUGGGGCUUGGGGGGAGGGGACUCAUCGAGCGCACAGAGAGCAGUAGACCGCCUCCUGGGGCACUGCCUUGACCAGGGCUCCCCAUACCUGGAUGGCGCGUGAUCAGGACUGUGGAUGCCGACAACUGUCCCCUCCUAAACACCGGCGAGCUGAGCCCCCAGCAGCUGGGGCCAUCACUUCCUCUGUGAUCUCCAGGCGUGGCGUAGGGGGAGCUGGUCCCACAUGCCUCUGAGUUCCUGUGCCACUUCCCAACGCCGUGUUGAGCACAAGUACAGAAAAGUUCCCCCGAGGACACAUACGAAUCACACAGGUGCCAGGGUCACCUGCCAUGCUGUAGAUCCCACUGCCAGCCUCUGCCGGAGCACGGCCGUCCACCGGACAUGCUCACUACGCAGGAUUGCAGACACGGCGAUGAUGCCGCUCCACUGUAGGGAAUUUAAAUGCUUUCUUUGUUUUUAUUUUAAUUUUUGACAAAUAAAAGUUAUAUGUAUUUACAGUGU
rnacentral:lncRNA from 1 species